rnacentral:rRNA from 1 species
CCUACGGGAGACAGCAGUGGGGAAUAUUGGGCAAUGGGCGCAAGCCUGACCCAGCAACGUCGCGUGAAGGAAGACGGCCCUCGGGUUGUAAACCUUCUUUUUCAGGGACGUAGCAAGUGACGGUACCUGACGAAUAAGUCACGGCUAACUACGUGCCAGCAGCCGCGGUAAUACGUAGGUGGCAAUCGUUAUCCGGAUUUACUGGGUGUAAAGGGCGUGUAGGCGGGACUGUAAGGCAGAUGUGAAAACUACGGGCUCAACCUGUGGUCUGCAUUUGAAACUGUAGUUCUUGAGUACAGGAGAGGUAGGCGGAAUUCGUGGUGUAGCGGUGAAAUGAGUAGAGAUAAGGAAGAA